rnacentral:rRNA from 1 species
UGCGUAGGUGGCUUUGUAAGUCAGUGGUGAAAGCCCGGGGCUCAACCCCGGAACUGCCAUUGAUACUGCUUAGCUUGAAUCAGGUCGAGGUGGAUGGAAUAUUACAUGUAGCGGUGAAAUGCUUAGAGAUGUAAUAGAACACCGAUUGCGAAGGCAGUUCACUAGGCCCGUAUUGACACUGAGGCACGAAAGCGUGGGGAUCAAACAGGAUUAGAUACCCUGGUAGUCCACGCCCUAAACGAUGUAAACUCGACGUUAGCGAUAUACUGUUAGCGUCCAAGCGAAAGCGUUAAGUUUACCACCUGGGAAGUACGACCGCAAGGUUGAA